rnacentral:rRNA from 1 species
GACGAACGCUGGCGGCGUGCUUAACACAUGCAAGUCGAACGGAAAGGCCCUGCUUUUGUGGGGUGCUCGAGUGGCGAACGGGUGAGUAACACGUGAGUAACCUGCCCUUGACUUUGGGAUAACUUCAGGAAACUGGGGCUAAUACCGGAUAGGAGCUCCUGCCGCAUGGUGGGGGUUGGAAAGUUUCGGCGGUUGGGGAUGGACUCGCGGCUUAUCAGCUUGUUGGUGGGGUAGUGGCUUACCAAGGCUUUGACGGGUAGCCGGCCUGAGAGGGUGACCGGCCACAUUGGGACUGAGAUACGGCCCAGACUCCUACGGGAGGCAGCAGUGGGGAAUAUUGCACAAUGGGCGGAAGCCUGAUGCAGCAACGCCGCGUGCGGGAUGACGACCUUCGGGUUGUAAACCGCUUUCGCCUGUGACGAAGCGUGAGUGACGGUAAUGGGUAAAGAAGCACCGGCUAACUACGUG